AUUGAACGCUGGCGGCAUGCCUUACACAUGCAAGUCGAACGGUAACAGGUCUUCGGAUGCUGACGAGUGGCGAACGGGUGAGUAAUACAUCGGAACGUGCCCGAUCGUGGGGGAUAACGCAGCGAAAGCUGUGCUAAUACCGCAUACGAUCUACGGAUGAAAGCGGGGGACUCGCAAGGGCCUCGCGCGGACGGAGCGGCCGAUGGCAGAUUAGGUAGUUGGUGGGAUAAAAGCUUACCAAGCCGACGAUCUGUAGCUGGUCUGAGAGGACGACCAGCCACACUGGGACUGAGACACGGCCCAGACUCCUACGGGAGGCAGCAGUGGGGAAUUUUGGACAAUGGGCGCAAGCCUGAUCCAGCCAUGCCGCGUGCAGGAUGAAGGCCUUCGGGUUGUAAACUGCUUUUGUACGGAACGAAAAGCUCUCUCUAAUACAGGGGUGAAUGACGGUACCGUAAGAAUAAGCACCGGCUAACUACGUGCCAGCACGG
rnacentral:rRNA from 1 species